rnacentral:SRP_RNA from 3 species
AUGGCCCCGCAACGAUUACCCGUGAACCUGGUCAGAUCCGGAAGGAAGCAGCCACAGCGGGAACAUUGUGUGCCGGGGUGUGGCU